rnacentral:rRNA from 1 species
UACGUAGGGUGCAAGCGUUAAUCGGAAUUACUGGGCGUAAAGCGUGCGCAGGCGGUUUCUUAAGUCAGAUGUGAAAGCCCCGGGCUUAACCUGGGAACUGCGUUUGAAACUGGGAGACUUGAGUGUGGCAGAGGGGGGUGGAAUUCCGACGUGUAGCAGUGAAAUGCGUAGAUAUGUGGAGGAACACCGAUGGCGAAGGCAGCCCCCUGGGUUAACACUGACGCUCAUGCACGAAAGCGUGGGGAGCAAACAGG